UACGAAGGGGGCUAGCGUUGCUCGGAAUCACUGGGCGUAAAGCGCACGUAGGCGGCUUUUUAAGUCAGGGGUGAAAUCCUGGAGCUCAACUCCAGAACUGCCUUUGAUACUGGGAAGCUUGAGUCCGGGAGAGGUGAGUGGAACUCCGAGUGUAGAGGUGAAAUUCGUAGAUAUUCGGAAGAACACCAGUGGCGAAGGCGGCUCACUGGACUGGUAUUGACGCUGAGGUGCGAAAGCGUGGGGAGCAAACAGGG
rnacentral:rRNA from 1 species